CCUGGGCGUUCUCUCUCCCAGACCACACGUGGAGCACUGAGGUUUAUAAUCGCUGUCGAAGCAUUUUUAUGAUGGCUGCUUAAAAAUCCUUGUCAGAGAAUUCUAACAUCUAUGUCAUAUUGGCAUUGGCAUCUAUUGACUAUUGUCAUUCAAGGCUUCGACGUCCAAAGGUGGGGUAAGCGUGUUUUCUGGACCUUGAGCUUUGAGAUGGAACAGAGAUGGAUGCCGGCUUGGUCUUGGCAAGGCACUCAGGUGAGGUGGGGCCAGACCAGGCGCAGCCCAGCUAGACCUUCCGUAGAGCUCGCAUCUGCUGGGCGUGCAUUCAUGUAAAGAGAGUCGCGAUCAGCGAGCCUGUGUGUCGGUUCGCGUGUUCCGCCAAGCUCGCGAACUUCGCCGGGGUCGAAGCUUCCCGCGAAAGGACACACCCGUCCGUGACCGCGCUCUUAUUGGCCGGGCCCGGACAUCUGCCUUAUGGCGUCAGCUGCAGGGGCUCGUCUCGGGCGGGAGAGCCCGGGCCAGGGCGGGGUGACGUCA